GGGCACCUUGGGUGUCACCAGUGUAGCUUCUCCCCCCCAAGCUCACAGGAGAAACUCUGGGCCAGCAAGCAGGAGGGCUUCCUCUAGGGACUUUGUCAACCUGUGCAUCGCUGAUAUCUGGAUCCAGAUAAGCCUUUGGCAAGACAGGACAGGGGAGAGUCUGUGCAUUUUGUAGGAGGUUUAGCGACACCCCUGGCCCCCACCUACCAGCUGGGGAAGGAACUUCACGCCAGGAACACCGUGCCAGUCUUGACAACCAGAAGUAUCUGCAGACAUUGCCAUUGUCCCCUGAGGAACUGACUCCUUUGAAAAGAUCCUGAUGCUGGGAAAGAGUGAAGGUGGGAGGAGAAGGGGACGGCAGAGGAGGAGAUGGUUGGAUAGCAUCACCGACUCAAUGGACAUAGUUUGAGUAAACUCCAGCAGUUGGUGUUGGUUAGGGAGGUCUGGCCAGUGGCAGUCCAUGAGGUCGCAAAGAGUGGGACACAACUGAGUGACUGAACUGAACAGAACUUGCAUGAGAAUUUCAGG
ensembl:lncRNA